rnacentral:rRNA from 1 species
UACGGAGGGUGCAAGCGUUAUCCGGAUUCACUGGGUUUAAAGGGUGCGUAGGUGGGCAGGUAAGUCAGUGGUGAAAUCUCCGAGCUUAACUCGGAAACUGCCGUUGAUACUAUUUGUCUUGAAUAUUGUGGAGGUAAGCGGAAUAUGUCAUGUAGCGGUGAAAUGCUUAGAUAUGACAUAGAACACCUAUUGCGAAGGCAGCUUACUACGCAUAUAUUGACGCUGAGGCACGAAAGCGUGGGGAUCAAACAGG